rnacentral:rRNA from 1 species
AAAGAUGCGCUAAUACCGCAUAAUCUCUAAGGAGAAAAGCAGGGGAUCGCAAGACCUUGCGCUUUUGGAGCGGCCGAUGUCUGAUUAGCUAGUUGGUGAGGUAAAGGCUUACCAAGGCUUCGAUCAGUAGCUGGUCUGAGAGGACGACCAGCCACACUGGGACUGAGACACGGCCCAGACUCCUAAGGGAGGCAGCAGUGGGGAAUUUUGGACAAUGGGGGCAACCCUGAUCCAGCCAUGCCGCGUGAGUGAAGAAGGCCUUCGGGUUGUAAAGCUCUUUCAGCCGGAACGAAAAGGUUACGGUUAAUACCCGUGACUAAUGACGGUACCGGAAGAAGAAGCACCGGCUAACUACGUGCCAGCAGCCGCGGUAAUACGUAGGGUGCGAGCGUUAAUCGGAAUUACUGGGCGUAAAGCGUGCGCAGGCGGUUUUGUAAGUCAGAUGUGAAAUCCCCGGGCUUAACCUGGGAACUGCGUUUGAAACUACAAGGCUAGAGUGUGGCAGAGGGGGGUGGAAUUCCACGUGUAGCAGUGAAAUGCGUAGAGAUGUGGAGGAACACCGAUGGCGAAGGCAGCCCCCUGGGUUAACACUGACGCUCAGGCACGAAAGCGUGGGGAGCAAACAGGAUUAGAUACCCUGGUAGUCCACGCCCUAAACGAUGUCAACUAGUUGUCGGGUCUUAACGGGCUUGGUAACGCAGUUAACGCGUGAAGUUGACCGCCUGGGGAGUACGGUCGCAAGAUUAAAACUCAAAGGAAUUGACGGGGACCCGCACAAGCGGUGGAUUAUGUGGAUUAAUUCGAUGCAACGCGAAAAAUCUUACCUACCCUUGACAUGUACCGAAGCCCGCCGAGAGGUGGGCGUGCC